GACGAACGCUGGCGGCGUGCCUAACACAUGCAAGUCGAGCGAGAAGCUUUUGAACGAUCCUUCGGGUGAGUGAUAAAGUGGAAAGCGGCGGACGGGUGAGUAACGCGUGAGUAACCUGCCCAUAAGAGGGGGAUAACAACCGGAAACGGUUGCUAAUACCGCAUAUUAUGCUUUUGUCGCAUGACAGAGGUAUGAAAGAUUUAUCGCUUAUGGAUGGACUCGCGUCCAAUUAGCUAGUAGGUGGGGUAACGGCCUACCUAGGCGACGAUUGGUAGCCGAACUGAGAGGUUGAUCGGCCACAUUGGGACUGAGACACGGCCCAGACUCCUACGGGAGGCAGCAGUGGGGAAUAUUGCGCAAUGGGGGCAACCCUGACGCAGCAACGCCGCGUGAAGGAUGAAGGUUUUCGGAUCGUAAACUUCUGUCGUAAGGGACGAAUUUUGACGGUACUUACAAGGAAGCCACGGCUAACUACGUG
rnacentral:rRNA from 1 species